rnacentral:rRNA from 1 species
AUGCAGUCGAGGGGUAGGGGGUGCUUGCACCCCUGAGACCGGCGCACGGGUGCGGAACGCGUAUGGAACCUGCCCCUGUCAGGGGAAUAGCCCAGGGAAACUUGGAUUAAUGCCCCAUGGUAUCAUUACAUCGCAUGAUGUUGUGAUUAAAGAUUUAUCGGACAGGGAUGGCCAUGCGUACCAUUAGCUUGAUGGUGGGGUAACGGCCCACCAUGGCAACGAUGGUUAGGGGCCCUGAGAGGGGGAUCCCCCACACUGGUACUGAGACACGGACCAGACUCCUACGGGAGGCAGCAGUGAGGAAUAUUGGACAAUGGUCGGAAGACUGAUCCAGCCAUGCCGCGUGCAGGAUGACGGCCCUAUGGGUUGUAAACUGCUUUUAUACGGGAAGAAACCCACCUACGUGUAGGUGGCUGACGGUACCGUAAGAAUAAGGACCGGCUAACUCCGUGCCAGCAGCCGCGGUAAUACGGAGGGUCCGAGCGUUAUCCGGAAUCAUUGGGUUUAAAGGGUCCGUAGGCGGGCCUGUAAGUCAGGGGUGAAAGUUUGUGGCUCAACCAUAAAAUUGCCUUUGAUACUGCAGGUCUUGAGUCAUGGUGGGGUUGCCGGAACAUGUGGUGUAGCGGUGAAAUGCAUAGAUAUCACAUAGAACACCGAUCGCGAAGGCAGGU